ACAAAAACACUAAACACAAACCUAGCCCUCUCUCUACGAAUAAACACAAACCCUAAGCGUACUUGCUUCUCCUUUCUUUCUCUGCGACAACGAAGCACAAUCUUUGCGGCGAAACCUAAACACGAACGAAACCCUUUCUUUUUGUGCUUUCAGAGUUUCAGAUUCUCCACCACUGGUUCAGAUUCAGAUUUUCCAAGAGUUUUCAAGGGUCCUCUUCGCCACGCUACCACCGUCAUCUUCGCAUUCAGUCACUGUGGAUUUUCUCCUCAUCUUCAUCUAUUGUGCCGAGACUUCUUAACUUAUAGGGUGAUGAUUCU